GAAACUGCGAAUGGCUCAUUAAAUCAGUUAUAGUUUAUUUGAUGGUACCUUUACUCGGAUAACCGUAGUAAUUCUAGAGCUAAUACGUGCGUAAAUCCCGACUUCUGGAAGGGACGUAUUUAUUAGAUAAAAGGCCAGCCGGGCUUGCCCGACUUUUGGCGAAUCAUGAUAACUUCACGAAUCGCACGGCCUCGUGCCGGCGAUGUUUCAUUCAAAUUUCUGCCCUAUCAAUUGUCGAUGGUAGGAUAGAGGCCUACCAUGAUGGUAACGGGUGACGGAGGAUUAGGGUUCGAUUCCGGAGAGGGAGCCUGAUAAACGGCUACCACAUCCAAGGAACGCACUAUGCGCUCAAAUUACCCAAUCCUGACA
rnacentral:rRNA from 1 species